rnacentral:rRNA from 1 species
AAGGUGGAUAUGUUAAUAGCAUAUUCAUUUGACGUUAGCUGCAGAAGAAGCACCGGCUAACUCCGUGCCAGCAGCCGCGGUAAUACGGAGGGGUGCGAGCGUUAAUCGGAAUUACUGGGCGUAAAGCGCAUGCAGGUGGUUUGUUAAGUCAGAUGUGAAAGCCCGGGGCUCAACCUCGGAAUUGCAUUUUGAAAACUGGCAAACUAGAGUACUGUAGAGGGGGGUAGGAAUUUCAGGUGUAGCGGUGAAAAUGCGUAGAGAUCUGAAGGAAUACCGGUGGCGAAGGCGGCCCCCUGGACAGAUACUGACACUCAGAUGCGAAAGCGUGGGGAGCAAACAGGAUUAGAUACCCUGGUAG